rnacentral:rRNA from 1 species
GACGUAGGGCGCGAGCGUUGUCCGGAUUUAUUGGGCGUAAAGAGCUCGUAGGCGGCUUGUUGCGUCGACUGUGAAAACCCGCGGCUUAACUGCGGGCUUGCAGUUGAUACGGGCAGGCUAGAGUUCGGUAGGGGAGACUGGAAUUCCUGGUGUAGCGGUGAAAUGCGCAGAUAUCAGGGGGAACACCGGUGGCGAAGGCGGCAUCCUGGACCGAGAUUGACGCUGAGGCGCGAAAGCCAGGGGAGCAAACGGG